rnacentral:rRNA from 1 species
UACGAAGGGGACUAGCGUUGUUCGGAAUCACUGGGCGUAAAGCGCACGUAGGCGGAUGUGUCAGUCAGGGGUGAAAUCCCGGGGCUCAACCUCGGAACUGCCUUUGAUACAGCACGUCUCGAGUCCGGAAGAGGUGGGUGGAAUUCCUGGUGUAGCGGUGGAAUGCGCAGAUAUCAGGAGGAACACCAAUAGCGAAGGCAGCUCGCUGGGACGGUACUGACGCUAAGGCGCGAAAGCGUGGGGAGCGAACAGG